ACGAACGCUGGCGGCGUGCUUAACACAUGCAAGUCGCACGGAAAGACCCUGCUUUUGUGGGGUGCUCGAGUGGCGAACGGGUGAGUAACACGUGAGUAACCUGCCCUUGACUUUGGGAUAUCUUCAGGAAACUGGGGCUAAUACCGGAUAGGAGCUCCUGCUGCAUGGUGGGGGUUGGAAAGUUUCGGCGGUUGGGGAUGGACUCGCGGCUUAUCAGCUUGUUGGUGGGGUAGUGGCUUACCAAGGCUUUGACGGGUAGCCGGCCUGAGAGGGUGACCGGCCACAUUGGGACUGAGAUACGGCCCAGACUCCUACGGGAGGCAGCAGUGGGGAAUAUUGCACAAUGGGCGGAAGCCUGAUGCAGCAACGCCGCGUGCGGGAUGACGGCCUUCGGGUUGUAAACCGCUUUCGCCUGUGACGAAGCGUGAGUGACGGUAAUGGGUAAAGAAGCACCGGCUAACUACGUG
rnacentral:rRNA from 1 species